ACUUUUUCCAGCUUGCGGACUUCUUUUUCUUAAAUAAUUUUUUCGCGUCGUUAACAGAUUUACAAUAUAUAGUGUAGUUUUCAUAUGUAGAAUUAUUGUUAUAAUUUCUUUCAGCCUGUUUUCUUUUAUUUAUAGCGGCUGAACAGUCAAUGUCCCACCAAGGAGGUGAUGGGGAGAGAAAUGAGAAUGGGAAAGUGAUCACUACCGUGACUAUAUGAUAAAACUGACCAAUGUAAAAGAGAUGAUAGAUUUGAAGUACAAAUAGAUAAAUCGGGAGCACUAUAACCCUCAUUGGGUGCAGUAUGCCUCGUUGGAAACCCUGUAUUGAGAAUGCAUAACUUGUGGAAAUCUAAUAAAUCUAAUAUUUCGAAACCCCAUUGAUUAUUAUUACUGCUACCCCAAGACAAGUGUUGAGCAUUAAAAUCACCAAGAAUUAUAAAAGGUUUUGGUAAAUUGCUUAUUAAAUUUCUAAUUUCUAAAAAUAUAGAAUAGGAUGGAUGAGGAAUAUACAAUGACACAAAACAGAUGUUAUUUACAGAUGCAGCAAUUAUAGAGACAUUGGGAUUAUGUAAUGGAAGUGAAAUAUGUACAUAUGAAUGAUGAUGGUUGAUGAGUAAAGCGGUACCGCCAAACCCAUCGGAUCUGUCCUCUCUUAUACAGGGCGUUUGCGGUUUGAAGAUGAAUUAUUAUUAAUCGAAGAGUCAGUGUCCAUAGAAGAAUCAUUAAUUUCUGUUGUCUGAACAGUUAUAAAUUGGCCAGCAGGGGGGCACUCCGGCCCCCCCGGGUCCACAUCCAUAUUUACAAAAUACUAUAUACAAGAGACUUACCA